rnacentral:rRNA from 1 species
UACGUAGGGUGCAAGCGUUGUCCGGAUUUAUUGGGCGUAAAGAGCUCGUAGGCGGUUUGUCGCGUCGGAUGUGAAAACCCAGGGCUCAACCCUGGGCCUGCAUUCGAUACGGGCAAACUAGAGUAUGGCAGGGGAGACUGGAAUUCCUGGUGUAGCGGUGAAAUGCGCAGAUAUCAGGAGGAACACCGGUGGCGAAAGCGGCUCCCUGGUCCAGCACCGACGUUCAGGCACGAAAGCGUGGGGAGCAAACAGG